AGCGAACGCUGGCGGCAGGCCUAACACAUGCAAGUCGAACGAAGUCUUCGGACUUAGUGGCGGACGGGUGAGUAACACGUGGGAACGUGCCUUUAGGUUCGGAAUAACUCAGGGAAACUUGUGCUAAUACCGAAUGUGCCCUUCGGGGGAAAGAUUUAUCGCCUUUAGAGCGGCCCGCGUCUGAUUAGCUAGUUGGUGAGGUAAAGGCUCACCAAGGCGAGGAUCAGUAGCUGGUCUGAGAGGAUGAUCAGCCGCAUUGGGACUGAGACACGGCCCAAACUCCUACGGGAGGCAGCAGUGGGGAAUCUUGCGCAAUGGGCGAAAGCCUGACGCAGCCAUGCCGCGUGAAUGAUGAAGGUCUUAGGAUUGUAAAAUUCUUUCACCGGGGACGAUAAUGACGGUACCCGGAGAAGAAGCCCCGGCUAACUUCGUGCCAGCAGCCGCCGUAAAAC
rnacentral:rRNA from 1 species